rnacentral:rRNA from 1 species
UUAAGUUAAUAAGGGCGCACGGUGGAUGCCUUGGCACUAGAAGCCGAUGAAGGACGUGACUAACGACGAAAUGCUUUGGGGAGUUGUAAGUAAACAUUGAUCCAGAGAUGUCCGAAUGGGGGAACCCGGCAUGUGAAGCAUGUCACUCAUUACUGUUAAGGUAAUGAAGAGGAAGACGCAGUGAACUGAAACAUCUAAGUAGCUGCAGGAAGAGAAAGCAAACGCGAUUGCCUUAGUAGCGGCGAGCGAAACGGCAAGAGGGCAAACCGAUGUGUUUACACAUCGGGGUUGUAGGACUGCGUUGUGGGACGCAAGAUUAUAGAAGAAUUACCUGGGAAGGUAAGCCAAAGAGAGUAAUAGCCUCGUAAUCGAAAUAAUCUUAAACCCUAGCAGUAUCCUGAGUACGGCGAGACACGAGAAAUCUCGUCGGAAUCCGGGAGGACCAUCUCCCAACCCUAAAUACUCUCUAGUGACCGAUAGUGAACCAGUACCGUGAGGGAAAGGUGAAAAGCACCCCGGGAGGGGAGUGAAAUAGAACCUGAAACCGUGUGCCUACAACAAGUUCGAGCCCGUUAAUGGGUGAGAGCGUGCCUUUUGUAGAAUGAACCGGCGAGUUACGAUAUGAUGCGAGGUUAAGUUGAAGAGACGGAGCCGUAGGGAAACCGAGUCUUAAUAGGGCGCUUUAGUAUCAUGUCGUAGACCCGAAACCAUGUGACCUACCCAUGAGCAGGGUGAAGGUGAGGUAAAACUCACUGGAGGCCCGAACCAGGGCACGUUGAAAAGUGCUUGGAUGACUUGUGGGUAGCGGAGAAAUUCCAAACGAACUUGGAGAUAGCUGGUUCUCUCCGAAAUAGCUUUAGGGCUAGCGUCGAUGUUAAGUCUCUUGGAGGUAGAGCACUGUUUGAUUGAGGGGUCCAUCCCGGAUUACCAAUAUCAGAUAAACUCCGAAUGCCAAUGAGAUAUAAUCGGCAGUCAGACUGCGAGUGCUAAGAUCCGUAGUCGAAAGGGAAACAGCCCAGACCACCAGCUAAGGUCCCAAAAUAUAUGUUAAGUGGAAAAGGAUGUGGGGUUGCACAGACAACUAGGAUGUUAGCUUAGAAGCAGCUAUUCAUUCAAAGAGUGCGUAAUAGCUCACUAGUCGAGUGACCCUGCGCCGAAAAUGUACCGGGGCUAAAACAUAUUACCGAAGCUGUGGAUACCUAUUAUAGGUAUGGUAGGAGAGCGUUCUAUGUGUGAAGAAGGUGUACCGUGAGGAGCGCUGGAACGCAUAGAAGUGAGAAUGCCGGUAUGAGUAGCGAAAGACAGGUGAGAAUCCUGUCCACCGUAAGACUAAGGUUUCCAGGGGAAGGCUCGUCCGCCCUGGGUUAGUCGGGACCUAAGGAGAGACCGAAAGGUGUAUCCGAUGGCCAACAGGUUGAUAUUCCUGUACUAGAGUAUAUAGUGAAGGAGGGACGCAGUAGGCUAACUAAAGCGUGCGAUUGGAAGAGCACGUCUAAGCAGUGAGGUGUGAUAUGAGUCAAAUGCUUGUAUCUCUAACAUUGAGCUGUGAUGGGGAGCGAAGUUAAGUAGCGAAGUUAGUGAUGUCACACUGCCAAGAAAAGCUUCUAGCGUUAAUUAUACUCUACCCGUACCGCAAACCGACACAGGUAGUCGAGGCGAGUAGCCUCAGGUGAGCGAGAGAACUCUCGUUAAGGAACUCGGCAAAAUGGCCCCGUAACUUCGGGAGAAGGGGCGCUGGCUUUAAGUCAGCCGCAGUGAAUAGGCCCAAGCAACUGUUUAUCAAAAACACAGCUCUCUGCUAAAUCGUAAGAUGAUGUAUAGGGGGUGACGCCUGCCCGGUGCUGGAAGGUUAAGAGGAGCGCUUAGCGUAAGCGAAGGUGUGAAUUGAAGCCCCAGUAAACGGCGGCCGUAACUAUAACGGUCCUAAGGUAGCGAAAUUCCUUGUC